CCUACGGGGGGCAGCAGUAGGGAAUUUUCCGCAAUGGGCGAAAGCCUGACGGAGCAAUACCGCGUGAGGGAUGAAUGCCUAUGGGUUGUAAACCUCUUUUUUCAGGGAGGAACACAAUGACGUGUACCUGAAGAAUAAGCAUCGGCUAACUCCGUGCCAGCAGCCGCGGUAAGACGGAGGAUGCAAGUGUUAUCCGGAAUCACUGGGCGUAAAGCGUCUGUAGGUGGUUUAAUAAGUCAACUGUUAAAUCUUGAGGCUCAACCUCAAAAUCGCAGUCGAAACUAUUAGACUAGAGUAUAGUAGGGGUAAAGGGAAUUUCCAGUGGAGCGGUGAAAUGCGUAGAUAUUGGAAAGAACACCGAUGGCGAAGGCACUUUACUGGGCUAUUACUGACACUCAGAGACGAAAGCUAGGGUAGCAAAUGGGAUUAGAUACCCCGGUAGUC
rnacentral:rRNA from 1 species